rnacentral:rRNA from 1 species
GACGAACGCUGGCGGCGUGCUUAACACAUGCAAGUCGAACGCUGAAGCUCAGCUUUUGUUGGGUGGAUGAGUGGCGAACGGGUGAGUAACACGUGAGUAACCUGCCUCCUUCUUUGGGAUAACGCCCGGAAACGGGUGCUAAUACUGGAUAUUCACUGGUCUUCGCAUGGGGGUUGGUGGAAAGGGUUUUUCUGGUGGGGGAUGGGCUCGCGGCCUAUCAGCUUGUUGGUGGGGUGAUGGCCUACCAAGGCUUUGACGGGUAGCCGGCCUGAGAGGGUGACCGGUCACAUUGGGAAGGAGAUACGGCCCAGACUCCUACGGGAGGCAGCAGUGGGGAAUAUUGCACAAUGGGCGCAAGCCUGAUGCAGCGACGCCGCGUGAGGGAUGGAGGCCUUCGGGUUGUGAACCUCUUUCGCUCAUGGUCAAGCCGCAACAAUGGUUGUGGUGAGGGUAGUGGGUAAAGAAGCGCCGGCUAACUACGUG